AUACUUAUCUGAACGGGGCCAAUGGGUCUUCAAGAUGGCCCAUAGCCUAGAUUGGUGACCUCCAUUGCACUUAGGAGGGGUGUCCAUCUAAAGUCUACCCAAGUGGUGGAGCCUACGUUAUAAUUUGUGAUAGUGGGGGCCUGCGUUCGCGCGGCCCCUUC